AUGGGAUUUCUUGACAAACUCUGGGACGAAACGUUGGCGGGUCCCUUACCUGAAUCGGGUUUGGGUAAACUUCGAAAGUAUAACUCUUUCUCUGCAAGCUCCGGUUUCCGAUCGCCGCCGGUGAAGGAAGACGUUCCUAUCAGUCGUAGCAUUAUGAUUAUUAGAACUCAUUCUAAUUUCGGUAGAGGCACCGUUUCGGAACCUGUUUCUCCUUGUUCUUCUGCACCUACAUCCCCUCGCACCCCUUUAUCACCACUGGAGACACCAAGAGGCAAUUUUAAGAAAUUUACGAGAAGGAAAUUGCAGAUUGAUCCAACUGAAAGCUCCGAUAAUCGAAGGUGA